GGCAGUCUGAUCGUGUCUUCCUCCAUCCUGAUCGCUCGAGGCACUGGGACAUGUAGUGGUGACGAGGAAGUGUAAUUUGGUACUGGGCUGGCUGGAGGUGUGUACGAAAUUCUCUCUUGCUUGAUGCAGCACUGGGCAGCAGGCUCAGACAUCUCUCAGGAGGAGCUCCGCGCAGCCCAGCGGGCGGCCGGGAACUUCUGGGGCUCUUCCCACCUCCCGCUCCCCGCCGGCCCCUCAGGAGGAAGUUGCGGCCGCCACCGCGGCCCGCGGAGCUGCCCGGGGUCCCCUCCCCGCCGCCGCGCUCCGGGGGGCGCUCGGAAGCUGCCGCCCCCCGCCGCGCGUGGCCGUGUGCGCGCGUGUGCGGGACCGCGCGUGUGUGAGCGCGCGUGUGCGCGGGGCAGAGGGGGGAGCGCGAGGCGGGGGGAGGGAGGGAGAGGGCGGGCGCUGCCGCCGCGGCCCCCGCUGCCCACCAGUGUUUUCCUUCCUGGAAGAGAAACCGAAAGGCGGCGCGGGCCCGGCCGGCCGUGCCCCGCCCAUGGAGCCGGAGUUUCGGGGGCCCGAAAGUGACGUGAGUUCCCGGCAGCCGGCCCCGCCCCUUAAAGGUGCCGCUGCGGCGCGAAACGGCCGCGAUCGGCCGCCGCCCGCGUGCGCCCUGGCGCUGAAGGAGAGCCGAGAGGAAGGGGUCCGGGCGGGCGCGGCCCGGCUGGGGCCGGCGUGCUGCGUUCGGCACCGAUCCGCCGGGGGGAGGCGGCGCGGGAGGGCCGUUGAGACGCGCCAGCGUGGGCGGAGAACCCAGCGAACGGGUGGAAGGCGCUGAGGGAGGCGGUGAGCGGAGCGGCGACGACAACAAUGGCCUUUGUUCCGCAGGCGGGGCGGCCCCUUUAAGAGCGCAGACCUGGAAGUGGCACGGGAAGUCCGGGCAGGGCGCAGCGGUGGCUCUGCGCGGCCUUACAGUAGGCGGCGGAGGCGACAAGGAGCCCCGAGUAGGAGUGCGGCAGUGGGGGGGUGGCGGUGUUCGCAGCACCACACACACAUACACACUAUGGAGAAGGGAGCUCCGCGCUUCGCAAAGCGUGGCACGGCGCCCAGUGGUCAGCACCGCGCCUUCUCCCAGCCUGGCGUGCUGGGGACGCGGUGUCUGCCAACGCGUGUGGCGCGGCCGCAGUGUGGAAGCGCCGGGCUCUGUUUUGCCGAUAGGGUCCCACACGUCGGGGUCCGGCGGGGCUUCCCGCAGCACAUCGGGCGGACACGUCGGGUCACGGGGCAGUGCGUGCGUGUUGCAGAGCGGCACGGCGCUAACGCAGGCGGGCGCGUACAGUUGGCCGAGCAAAGUGCUGCGCGCAGAAAGUGAAAUAGAGCUGUGCCGCGUUUGUUGGUAACUUCCACGGGAAUGUCGGGUGUGAUCUGCGGCCGAACGUCAGAGACGGGUAGCGUGGGGUGGGUUGCGUUUCCUUGUUUUGGAGACGGGUCACUUUGGAAUAGGAGGCUUGUGCUCGCAGCGGGUGGGCACCGAGAGCGCUGCUGGUUUUGGGAACGGUAAAACCUCUCGUUUCCUCGCCUUGGUGCAGUGUGUUACAGAGUUGUCUGGAGAGGGAUACAUCCACGGCAGGAGGGAGCCAAGGCCGUGUACCGGAGUCUUGAAAUUACUGACUGCUGACUUUUCAUUACCCUUAAAAUAGACCCUUUACAUUACAUACAGUGUGUGGGGGGCCGCGCAUGAGGUCAUACCCCCCCCCAACCCCCCUUGUUCCUGCUGUUUGCAUGGAUAUCUCCUGCUCUUCAGUCCCAGCCUUCAUCACAAGAUGUGGUGAGAAAGGCACCUGCUCUCCCAGGACGGGAGGCUGCUAGGAUCUGCCGGUAGGCAUCCUGGGGCAGGCUGCCACAGGCCAUUUUGCAAACCAGGACCAAAUAACUCCCUGUGCUCUCUUGCAGCUUGUUACAGCUUCGUUUUAAGCAGUCCGGGAAACUAAAGAAGAAAGAGGAAGGGAAAAUAAUAUUCCCUCUCAGCUUAGCAACUGAUGACUUUUUAAUAUAGGGCCAACUCAAUAACAAAGAAAGCUUAUCUACUCUGCUUCACUCUACGGGACUGCGCUGCUGGAGAAGAGUCAUUGCAUCUUGAUUGCUUUUAUGGUGCAGCUCUCUCUGCUAUUAUUCUCUCUGCUUCAUCAUUGUAUGACAUUUUCCCUUUCUUCCUGCAUGAUUACCUCUGGCUUUCCCCAAGUGCUGAGUCAUUAUUCUGUACCUCACAGCAAAGGAGCUUUGUGAUUCCUUAUGUUAAAUGUAGAAAUAAGAGAUGGAAAGAACCUGUUAGGUCAUCCACUCCACAUCCCCACUGGUAGAGUAUUUACAGCACACAAUCGAUCCAUCCAUGUUAGUUUUAAGUUACUUAGGUAAUGGGGCUUCCACCUCUUCCUUUUGGAGUCUGUUUCGUGGACUAACAGCUCCCAUGGUUGGGAAAAUAUUUGGUCCAUAUCUUCAUUUGUCCAGUUUCACCCAAUUACUCCUGGUUAUAACUGUGUAUUUUACUACCCUUUUUUUUUUUUUUUUUUCUCUUUUAUGGCUCUCUGUGCUUUUCACCCAGGUAUCACUUCUUUUCCUAGCCAUUGACAUUUGUUCUUUUUAUCUCCUUGUUUUAUCAGUUCCUGCAGCCACUUUGUCACUGUCAUUGGUCUUUAAUUCUCACCCAUCUCCCCGGCUGCUUUUAGAAACAGGUAACUUCCCCAGUCUUUUGUGAAUGUAGCCAAUGCUCCAUAAUGGUUUAGUCUGUCUGCAAGUUGCCUCACCAGCUUCAAAAUUUGUCAUCUGCCACCACCAUGAAUCAGUGUUAUGGACCCUCUUACUCUUCAAUGUUUCCUCUUGCAAUAUAAUUGUAAUCUCAUAUUCUCCAUGACAGCUAUGGUGAAGCUGUGUGUCCUGGGUCUAAUUUUUUUCUACCCGUGGUUUUGAUAUUCGCACGUCCACUCCUUCUGGGUUCUCUGGUAUCUAUGCAAAUCUUCAUCCAUUUUGGUUCCUCUCAUUAGUUGCAAUCUCCUGAGACCUCAGACUACAUGGUCCUGGCCACUGUGCUGUACAGGAGACAGGAAAUGCUACCACGUCUCCUGGUGAGCAGCAUGGUCUGUGGCUGCACACAGUUGCUCUGGAGAUGUGAGGAGAAAGCUUCUCCAGCUGUCAGCUUCCCUUUAGAUCUGUUCUGUAUGGACUUUGUCCAGAGCAGAAUGGAAGUGCAUUAGCUAAUAUUAAACCUGGAAUGGGCUCCCAGCUAGUUUCUUUCCCUCUCACCAAGAGUCUACUGCUCAGCUUAUCUACAGGGAGGAUCCUGUUGUUCAAAGCAAGAUUUAUGAUCUCACAGAGCCACCUUUCAUAGAUGCGCAUGCCAGAAAUCCCCAAACUUUUUGCUCAAAUAGGUGGUAGCAAUACUAAUUCAGGCAAAAAGUAAUCCUAUUCUAGCCUGUAAAGUGACACCAAGUUCCUGCCUUUAUUAGCGCUGUCAUGGGAGAGGGAGACUGUGGUGUUGGAAGGCAAGAGCAGGAUGAGAAAACUGUGAACUGAAGAAUGAUCUUUUUGCUUGUAGUGGCCUGAAAAUCUGGCAUUGGGUGCUCAUACUUUCUAGUCUAGAGUUUGUCCCUGAAAACAGAGCAAGCCCCUGCUUGUAGUAGGUGACUCCCUAUUUAAAGGCGCUGAGGCUCACUCCCCUCUGCUUGCCUGACAUGGCCAUCUGGAGAGGCCUCCUGCUUCCCAGGAGCCAAGAUCUGAGACAUUGCCAAGAGAGUGCCACAGCUUGUCAAGAGCAUGGAACUACUAUUUGCUACUGCUCUUUCAUGUGGGCAUGAAUGACAAUGGAAACUGGAACAUAGGCAGAAUCAAAAAGACUAUAAAGCCCUGGGAGCACAAGUGAAGAACACUAGUGCCCAAGUUAACUUCUCUUCAGUUUUACCAGUUGGAGGAGAGAGGGCAGCCAAAAAUAGAGUUAUAAUGCAUGUCAACUCCUGGAUAUGUGGUUGGCACAUGAAGUUUUUGUUUCUUAUGACAGUGGGACUUUCUAUGAAGAUUAUAACCUUUUAGGGAAAGGGUGGGAUCCACCUGCCUAGAAGAGGCAGGACCACCUUUGGCAGCAGGCUGGUUAACAUAGUAAGGUGAGCUUUAAACUGAAUGACUUUGGGAGUGCGAUCAAAAAUGCAAUUCUCAUGGCACACUCACAACUGGAGAAUGAGCCAAGCCAAUCAGAACUGUGAUAAAUGUUCCUUAGCUACCUCCCAUGACAUGAGCCUGAAGAACAGUCACUUCAACAGUGUGUAUAGCUAUGGGGAAUACUCCUGCAUUCCUCUAGGGAUACCUGCAUUCUCAGCUCCCUUUUCUUCUCUGAAGUGACUAUGUACCAAUGUGCACAGUGUGGCAAAUAAGUAGGAAAAAGUAGAGAGCAGUUGCAGGACCUUGAUUUCGUUGUGAUCACAGAGACAUGGUAGGACAGCUUGCAUGACUGCAAUGCUAUCCUAGAUGGCUAUGUACUUUUUAAGAAAGACAAGGCCAGUAAGACAAGAUAGUGGAACUGCUCUUUGUGUGAGAGAACAACUGGAAGGUAUUGAGCUCUGCCAGGAGAUGAAUGAUGAACCACUGGAAAGCUUAUGGGUGAGGAUUAAGGGGCAGGCUAAUAUGACACUGCUGUGGAUGUUUAGUUCAGACCACCUGAUCAAGAGGAGGAAGUUGGUGAGGCCUUCUGCAGACAGAUGAAAGUAGCAAUUUGCAAUCCUGGGCUUCAGGAGAGCCAACUAUGACCUCUUCAAGGACCUAUGUGGAGGUAUGCCAUGGGUUAGAGCACUGGAAGGUAAGGGAGCCCAAGAGAGUUGGUUGACAUUCUAGCACCAGUUCUUCCAAGCUGAAGAUCAGUGCAUCCCUAAGAAUUAGAAAUCAAGCAAAGGUGGCAGGGACACAUAUGGAUGAGCAAGGAGCUCAUGGAAAAAUUCCAGUGGAAGCAGAUAGUCUAUGGAAUGUAGAAGGGGGGUCUGGUCAGUUGGAAGGAGUGUAGGAACAUUGUCAGGGCAUGCAGGAUUGCAGUGAGGAAGGCUAAAGCCCACUUGGUAUUAAAUCUGGUGAGGGAGAUCAAGGACAAAAAGAAAGACUUCUUUAAGUAUGUCAGUAGCAAAAGGAAGACUAGGGAAAAUGUGGGUCCCCUGCUGAAUGAGACAGAUGCCGCACUAACAGAGGACACUGAACAGGCAGUUACUGAAUGCUUUUUUUGCUGCAGUCUUUACUGCUAAUGCUGCCCCUCAGAAAUCCCAGACCAUGGAGGUAAUAGAGAGAGAGUCUGGGGAAAGGAAAACUUCCCCUGUUUGUGGAGGUUCUGGUCAGAAAUCAUCUAGGCAGACUCAACACACACAAAUCUAUGGGCCCUGAUAGAAUGCACCCAUGAGUGCUGCGGGAGCUGGAGAAGUGAUUGGCAAACCACUCUCGAUUAUCAUCUUUGAAAAGUCAUGGAGAAUGAGAGAGGUGCCUGAGGACUGGAGGAAAGCCGGUGUAACUGCAGUCUUCAAAAAGGGCAAGAAAGAGGAGCUGGGAAAAUACUGGCCAGUCAGACUCACCUCCAUGCCUGGGAAGGUGAUGGAACAGGUUGUUCUGAAUGUCAUUUCCAAACAAGUGGAAGAAAAGAAGGUUAUCAGGAGUAGUCAACAUGGAUUCUCCAAGGGGAAAUCAUGCUUGACCAAUCUGAUAGUCUGUGAUGUCAUGACCAGCUGGGUAGAUCAGGGGAGAGCAGUGGACGUUGUCUACUUUGGCUUCAGCAAGGCUUUUGACAAUCUUUCAUAACAUCCUUGUAGGUAAGAUUAGAAAGUGUGGGAUAGACAAAUGGACUGUGAGAUGGAUUGAAAAUUCUCUGACUGGCAGAGCUCAGUGGGUUGUGGUCAGUGGCAUGUGAAGUCUAGUUUGAGGCCUGUGGCUAGCAAUGUUAUCCAGGAAUUGAUACUGGAUCCAAACUUGUUUAACAUUUUAGUCAAUGACCUGGGUGAAGGGAUAGAGUUGCACUCAGCAAGUUUGCUGAUGAUAUGAAGCUGAGAGGAGUGGUUGACAUACCAGAAGGCCGUGCUGCCAUUCAGCGAGACCUGGACAGGCUAGAGAAUUAGGCGGAGAGAAACCUAAUGAGGUUCCACAAGGCAAGUGUAGAGUCCUACAUCUAAGGAGGAAUAACCACACUCAUCUGGUACGGUUUAGGGGCUGAUCUGCUGGAAGGGAGCUCUGCAGUGAAGGACCUGGGUGUCCUGGUGGACAACAGGUUGACCAUAAGCCAGCAAUAUGCCCUUGUGGCUAAGAAUGACAAUGAUAUCCUGGAGUGCCUAAAAUAGAACAUGGCCAGCAGGUCAAGGGAGGUGACCAUCCCCUUCUACUCUGCCUUGAUGAGGCUACAUCUGGAGUACUGUCUCCAAUUCUGGGUUCCUUAGUUCAAGAAAAAUGAGAAGUUUCUAGAGAGAGUCCAUCAGAGGCCCACAAAGAUUAUUAGGGGCCUGGAACAUCUCCUGUAUGAGGAACAGCUGAGAGACCUGGGACUGGUUCAACCUGGAGAAGACUGUGGGGGGAUCUUACCAACAUUUACAAAUAUCUAAUGGGAGGGAGUCAAGUGGAUGAGGUCAGGCUCUUUUCAGUGCUGUACAGUGACAGGCCAAGAGGCAAUGGACACAAGCCAGAACAUAAAAGUUCCAUACACGCGAGGAAAAACUUAACUUUGAGGGUGACUGAGCACUGAACAAGCCGCCCUGAGAAGUUGUGGAGUCUCCUCUGGAGAUAUUCAAAACCUGCCUGGGUGCUUUCCUCUGUAACUUGCUCUAGGGAGCCAGCUUUAGCAAGAGUGUUGGAAUAGAUGAUCUCCAGAGGUCCCUUCUGACCCCUAUGGCUCUGUGAUUCUUUGAAAAGGAGGCUAACUAACCUUUCAAUGAGACUUUUAAUUUUCAGUGUGCAGCGAUGUGUCUGCACGCCAGCUGCCACCAGUUCUCCCUCUGUCACCAGCUCUCUUUCUGCCGUCACUUAUUCAACUGCUGGGCUAAUUUUCUCAGAUCUCCCUGAAGGAUGGAACCUGUUUAUCAAAGGAAUUUACACAUUUCAGAAGCUACAUCCAGGGUUUUCAUUUGUCCCUUUGUGUACUGUUUUUCCAGUUUCAGCAGUGUAGAGCAGUAGUUCAGACACAUGCAACAAUCACGGAUUUCACCUCACUUCUGAAUAAAGUUUGUGUUCAUGCUUUUUAUAUCUACGGAGGCAGUCACUAGUUCUAAGUGCCCAUAGUUAUCAUUAGCUCAUUCUACUGUUUCUCUGCUGAUAGCUUUUCUUUGCUUUUAUCUUUGCCCAGCAAAACUUAACUCAUUCAUUUAUUUAGUUCUUGCUUCUUUCUUCUUUUUGUGAUACUAGUUUCAUUUUCACCUUCUAAAGUUCAAGCAGACACAAAUAGUCACUUGAUGGUUUUUUUUCUCCUUUAAAUUUCCUGGAUGGAAAGAGGUGUACUGUUCCUCCAGUACACACUUUGCUAAGGCACAUCACAUUUGGGUCUCCUUUUGUCCCUUACCUCUGAAGAUCCUGACCCUAUAGCUCAGUCUACUGACAUUACUGUGUAAUCUCAACAGAGGUUACUCUUAGAGAUUCAGGCACAGCAUCAAGUUCUUAAGGAACAAAACACAGUUGGAGAUGGUAGUAAAUUCCAAGAAUGUGAAAGCAAUUAAGACGAACAUCGAUGUUAGAAUGCAGGGGAGGUUUUGAUCUGGAGGAAAAAACAGGAAAUCCAUGCAAGUUGGUACACAGAUGUGCUCUGAUAGGGAUCCCCCAUUGCACGUUUAGCACUAAGAUUCUUUUGUCCUUAGCAAAUUGAUUUCUGAAACUGAAGUGUGUUUUAAUGACCCUGGUAUGCAUCAGUCACAUCACUUUUCGUCAUUUGCAGUAAGAUUAGCUUUCAGUUCAUAAUCCCAGGGAAAUCCUUUUCCCAAGGUUCACUCAGGCUAAUGUUUCCUGUAGUAGAAGUCUCAUGCUUGGCUUUUCAGGAAUACAUAAAUACAUAUAUACAUAGGACAUUUUGAAUUAAUGCCACCUAUUUAUCUCCAUGGAAACUGCAACAGAUACAAAACACAAUAAUGCUAUUCGACAGAACUAGUUCUAAGCUACAAAACACCAUUUUUCAACAGUCACCACCAUUAGCUGAUUUGUGUGGAUGAGCUCAUCAAGAUGUUCCUCAUUUUGCAGUGUGACAGGCAGCUGUGCAUGGAUGUCUAGAACAUCACUUGUCUUUUCACAUCACUGUCAUCACUGCUGAGGUGCACCACUCACCCCCUUACUGUGCUCACAUCCACUGUUUGGUCUCUAUAAAUGCUCAGCAAGCAUUGAUGAAGAUCAGUGGGUGCCAUUUUUUCUGUUUGGAGGAAUCCAGUGACACACCUUUGCUUCAUACACCACUCCCAUGUCAGACACCAUUUUGUCAAACUGCCCCUCUGCUGCCAUCUGUCACACAGCGACAAAAUAUAAUGGAAUACUGUCAGGAAGGUUUAACCUCUACUGCCAUCUCACCAACAUCUUCCUCUGGUGUCAUGGACUGACAUAAUAAAAGAGGAGGCAAUACUUUUAGAGCAGCCCUCAUGUAUGUAAUUUGUAUAGAAAUAUAUUUUUAUGUAUUUUAGUAGAAAUAUAAAAUACAUUUUCUUACUUACAUACAUUAACUAUAUUAUGUGUUUUGUGAGAGCUGCUCUGAAAGUAAUGCCUCCUAUUUUAUGAUGUCCCAUGACAUCAGAGGCAGAUAUUGGUGAGACGGCAGUAGAGGUUUAACUUCCCCAACAAUGUUUGGUUACAUUUUGUUGCCAAGUGACAGAUGGCAGCAGAGAGACAGUCUGACAAAAUGAUGUCUGACAUGAAAACAUGUAUGAAGCAAAGGUGUGUCAUCAAAUUCCUUCGUAUGGAAAAAAUUGCACCCAGUGACAUUCAUCAAUACUUGCUGUACAUUUAUGAAGGCCAAACAGUGGAUGUGAGCACAGUGAGGUGGUGAGUGAUGCAUUUCAGCAGCAGCAGCAGUGACAGUGGGUCACCUCUGCUGGUGUAGAUUGUUAUGAGUACAGCACAGAAUCACAGAAUCAUCAAAUCCUUAGAGUUGGAAGGGACCCUUAAAGAUCAUCUUGUCCAACUCCUCUGCAAUGAACAGGGACAUCCGCAGCUAGAUCAGGGCCUGAUCCAGCUUUGCCUUGAAAGUCUCCAGGGACAGGGGAGAGUCUGUCCUCUUCUUUCCUGUAGCUCCCCCCUUUAGGUUUUGGAAGGCCACUAUCAGGUCACUUCCAAGCCUUCUCUUCUCCAGGCUGAACAGCCCCAGCCCUUUCAGUCGGUCCUUAUAGGAGAGGUGUUUCAUCCCUUGGAUCAUUUUUCUGGCCUUCCUCUGGACGUGCUCCAGUACGUGUGUGUCUGUCCUGUACUGAGGACUCCACAUCUGGAUGCAGUGCUCCAAGUGAGGCUUCACCUGCACAGAGUAGAGGGGCAGGAUCACCUCCCUCAGCCUGCUGGCUGUUUUUUUUUAGAUGCAGCCCAGAAUACAAUUGGCUUUCUGGGCUGCAAGAACACACUGCUGACUCAUGUCCAGCUUCCCAUCCACCAGUACCCCCAGGUCCUUUUUGGCAGGGUUGCACUCAAUCCUUUUAUCUCCUAGCUUGUAUUGAUAGCAGGGGCUGCCACAACCCAGGUGCAAGACCUUGCACUUGGAUUUGUUGAACCCCAUGAAGUUCUCCUGGGCCCACUGCUCAAGUGUGUCUAGAUCCCUCUGGAAGGCAUCUUGUCCCUCUGAUGAGACAACUGCACCACCACAGCUUGGUGCCAUACGCAAACUUGCUGAGGGUGCACUCGACCCCACUGAUAUUAAAUAGGUAUCGGUCCCAGAACUGACCCAUGGGGGACAUCUCUCAUCAGUGAUCUCCAUCCAGACAUUGAGCCAUUGACCACCGCUCUCUGAACUUGAUCCUGCAGCCUUCAUCCUUUGAACAGUCCUUCAUCCAUUGAACAGUCUACCCAUGUUAUCCAUAUCUUUCCAAUUUGGAGAGAAGGGUGUGGUGGAGUACCAUGUCAAAGGCCUUGCUGAAGUCCAGAUAGAUCACAGAAUCUCAGAAGUUGGAACGGACCUCAAGAGAUCAUUGAGUCCAACCCCUCUGCUGAAGCAGGUACCUUACAAUAGGUCACACAGGUAGGCAUCCAGCCACGUCUUGAAUAUCACCCUAGAAUGGGACUCCACAACCUCUCUGGGCAGUCUGUUCCAGUGCUGUCAACCUUACCAUAAAGUUCUUCCACAUGUUAGUUUGGAACUCUAUGUUCAAGUUUUAGGCCAUUACUCCUUGUCCUAUCACUACACACCAUCAAGAAGAGCCUGGCCUCCAUUUUGCCUCCCACCUCCCUUUAGAUAUUUAUAAACAUUUAUCCAGUAUCCUCUCAGUCUUCUUUUACCCAGGGUGAACAGACCCAGGUUACUCAGCCUUUCCUCAUAGGGGAGAUGCUCCAGACACUUAACCAUCUUUGUGGCCAUCCGUGGGACUCUUUCAAGGAGAUACCUGUCUUUUCUGAACUGAGGAGCCCAGAACCAGACACGGUAGUCUAAAUGUGGCUUCACCACAACAAAGUAGAGGGGGAGAAUCACCUCCCUUGACCUGCUGGCCAUGCUCUUUUUAAUGCAUUCCAGGAUAUCAUUGGCCUUCUUGGACACAAGGGCACACUACUGGCUCCUGAUCAACCUGUUGUCCACCAGGGCCCCCAGAUCCUUCUCUGCAGAGCUCCUCUCCAGCAGGUCAUCCCCUAACAAGUACUGAUGCAUACAAACAACAUCAGUGGCUCUUGCGUCGUCCACUGAUGCAGUUACACCAUCAUAAAAGGCCACUGGGUUGGUCAAGCAGGAUUUGCCCCUGGUGAAGCCAUGCUGGUUCUUCCGUAUCACCUGCCUGUCUUCCCUGCACCUUAGCAUAUCUUCCAGGAGGAUCUGCUCCAUGAUCUUUUCUGACAUAGAGGUGAAACUGACAGGUUUUUUACCCUCCUUAAAAAUGGACAUGAUAUUGCCUUUCUUUCCAGUAAUGAGGGAAUUCCCCUGAUUGCCAUGACUUUUCAAAUAUCAUUGAGAGUGGCUUUGCGACUACAUCAGCUAAUUUCCUCUUGUUCAUCGCUGGUGAAAAAUGCAUAGCUAAUGGUGAUGACUGUGUUGAAGAAGAGUGUUUUGUACCUGAGAAUUUGCUCUAUUAAAUAGUGCAGCUGUGCUCUUUGCAUCAGUUGUAGUUUCCAUUGAUAUAAUUUGGAGGCAUUACUUUCAAAGCAACCUUCAUAGUUGUGGCCCUAGACAAUUCCUCUUCACUCAGUGCGGCCCAGGCAUGCCAAAAAGUUGGACACCCAUUCUCUAAUCUGUGUCAUCAUCACGUGUUGUCACAUACUGGAUUAUUUUGAAUCAUCUGGUAUAUUGCUCCUGCAAAUAAGAGAAACACCUUUCUACUGCUGCGAAAGAAAAUAUUCUGGUAGGUAAGAACGGGAAGAGUUACUGAGGAUUGUACUGAUUUAACUCCAUUUCACUGUUCAUAGGAGUGCAGCUUCUUCUGAGGGACAAAUUUAUGCUUCUGUUUGGAAAGCAGAUGUCAUUGUACAAGUCACAGCUUCAAUACAUGUUGACAGUGCUACUGUUGGAAUGUACUUGGAUGCUGCAUCAACAAGUGGUCAUGACAAAGCUCCUGAGAGCUCCAUUGACACCAACCCAGCAAUAGCUAACCCUAUCAGAUUGGGUUAAAAUGCAUGGGCCCAGGAGAGCCCGUGUGCUGGCUGGGAGCUGGAGAAGGGACAGUAGCUUCUGAGCCACAGUCAGGCUCCUGAACCUGCCUGUCACUGUGGCAUCAGGACAAUAAGGGGAAAUGGCUGAGAGGAAACAGAGCAAGACUGUGGGGGAAAAUCAAUAGCAGGGAGCUGUGGAGGAGCUGGGGUAGGUGAAACCUCUCCAUUUGACCUACUUUAGCAGGUGUAGUUGUUUAGAUGGAAUUUAAAUCUCUGAAGAUAUGUGGGGAACUUCCUGACAUCACCCAAAGAUGGGCAGGGGCCAGGGCAGGGCUACACAUGUCAAGUAUGUGCUUAACCAUAACCAGGUCCAAACCCUUCAGUGCCAGCAGAGAUUUCCACGUGCGCUGGCUCAUUCUUGAGCAGGCAGAGCUCCAUAGGGGACACAGAAUCACUGGUGAAUGAGGUAAAGCACAAAGGUAUACCAAAAAUAGGAUAUUUGGAACACAGUUCUGCAGCGUGCUAGGUCUUCAGCUACCAAUUUCAGAUAUAAGCUGUACCUGCUUUGUCCUUAUGUUGUCCAGAACCGUGUAACAUCUGUCAAUACUGUUAACCUCAGGAAUUUAAAAUAAUUAGUUGUUAGUUAUUUAUAAUUAGUUACUUGUCUCUCACUCCAACAUUGCAGGAUUUUGAGGGAAAAGAUUGGGAAAAAAGAAAUAAAUUCAAAUGUAUCUGCAUAUUCUGAUCUUGCUUCUGGGUUUUGUUUUGUAAACUACUAUUUGCAAAUUUAUCCCCCAAAUUUUGAAUGCUAUUAGACUUCUUUUCUCUUUCAUUAUAGUCUUUUUUCCAUCUGUCUUUCACUCCCUCUUUCCCUUCCUCCCUCUCUCCUUACCCAGUUCUUUCGUCCCUCCCUGACUCCUUGCCUGCCUGUCUGCCCAUUUCGUAUGUAAUUACAUGAUUCAGACCAGGAGAAUUAAGGAACAGGAAAACAUAUGAUGAAACUGAAGGUAAAAGUAGAAAAGCCAUCAAACUAUGUGCUGUUACUGCAAAACAUUCUAAACAAAAGUAAACAAGAAAUAGAAGCUGAAGGGGCAGAGUUCAACAUUUCUGUCAGGUCAUGCCAAAGUGAUUUACAUUUUAUAGAUACCGUGGCUGGUUUAUCCUUCUCCUCUUCACUUACCUCAGCUGCAGAGGUGAAGCAAACUUUUCUCAAAGCCUAAUCCUCUCUAUUGGUAAUAUUUUCAGAGGCUGGUUCCUCUUCCCCCUCCCUUUUUCUGCAUCAUUUUCUCCACAGGGUGACAGGAUUACAGCUGUCGUGCCCAUUCUGAGUUGUGGUGCGCACUCUGUCAUCCAUGUCAUUCUAACUCUAUAUCUUGCUGGCAGUAAAAGAGUGACACAAAUUGUUUUCCUGCCAGAUUAACAUUGUCUAGUAGAUUUAAUGCUCAUAAUCUAAUGUGAGAGAGAACAUUAUAUGGGCAACAGAAGUCAAUCUGCUUGCAACGAUUGUCCAGCAUUGCUGAAAAUAAAUAAAUGAAUGCAUGAAUGAAUAACACUGCAGUUCUAGCCCUGUGGAAGCAGAGCACCAUUCUGCACUGUUCUGUACCUUCUGAGGCGGUGCCCUAUAGUGACAGUGCUGCCCAGCUGUAUGACCGGUAGGAUGACGUGGAAAUGCAGCAAAGGAGAAGGAGAAGCGAUAAAUAAAUAAAUGAAUAAAUAAAUAAAUAAGAAGGAAAGAAAGAAAAAUGAAAUAAGGGAGAAGGAAAAGGAAACAGGAAAAGCAAAAAAGGAAAAGGAAACUCGAGGUCGAGUGAGAGCAGUGUGUACUCAGCGAACUGCAGAAUGAAACCUUGGCAAAUGAAAAAAAUCAGUGUGAGUACAGCUUGUUGCAUAGAAGUGUGAUUUAUCUGCUUUUAUUUUCAAUAGUUCCAGUGGCAUCAUAAUGUAAGAUUUUAUAACCUAUUAAAUCAUGCCUGACGUUUAUUGUUGUAUUUUGGAGUGGAUACAUUACAGAUAGGCAGGAGCUGCACAGCAGUUUCUUCUCAGAGGUCUUAUUCCAUCCUCGUGCCCUUUUAUAACUUUAGCUCAGAAACUGCCCAAUGUUAACUGAAGAUAAAGAUUUUGGCCAAGAAUCAAAAAAUAAUCAACUUUUCAAUUACCAUUGAGUCGUUCGGAUCGCCCUGAUAUGAGGUGGCCUUUAUUUAUGUAGUUGUCUUCUAUUUCCAAAAGCAGAUCUGCAUACAAAAGGGUUAACAGCAACAGUCUCUUUGGGCUUCGCAGUAACCUUCAGAGCAAACAGGUUGCCCUUUCACAGGAAAGAGGUGGUAAUCAAUCUAAGUUGCUCACCAUUUUUUUUUUUUUUGUCUGUGUGUAGGGAGUGACAUAAUUAAUACCAGUAACUUGAGUUGACCCCAAUAUUAUGUUGGGAGAUGGCUGAGAAGAGGCAUAGAGGUGGGUGGAUAUGGGUGCCAAGGUCAUGUCCUUAUCUGGCCCAACUCUCCACACUUUUCUGUUGCCUAUGGAGGGUCUCCGUGAUGUCAGCCUGGACACUGUUCUUAGCAGCUUCCAUCUCUGCAACUUUAGCAUCUUUUCUGUAUACCAUUCACUUGAAUGGAAGGAGGGCAGCCUACUGUCAGGGGAAGCAGCAGUACCAGCAGUGAUGCAGGAUGUGGCACUGAAUGUUUGUCCUAUCCUGGCUCUUGGUGCUGGAGGACCAGCUGCCUCCUCAACAGACCUCAGGGCAUCCACAUGUGUGCAUGGUAGGACAGAGGCCUAACUUGUUAGAUGUGUUGCUCACGCACAACGUGCGCAACAUCAGGGAUGGCAGCAGCAGCAGCACCUGCCUGCUUGUGGUCCACUGCCCCUUCCUACACUCAUGUAGUCAGUCUCUCACUAGACAGGCCCAUCUGUGUGGCAACAUCCUGAAGAAAGCUGAGGCUAAGUUUCGAGUUGCACCGGUUGAGACAGGCUGAGAGAGCAACUGCAAGAAGAGAGAGGGUGGAAUAGACAAGUCCUGCCAGCAGCAGAGGGAAAGGGAAUAGUGAGACAGUGGAUGAGGAAGGGAAAAGCAGUGGAGAGGAGAUGAGGAGAAGAGUCUUAGCUCAGGAGGGGCUUCACCAGCCACUUCAGGAGGAGAGAGAUGAAAAGAUUAAGUGAAGGAAUGGUAACCUUGAUCAGAGGGACAUUCAGCCUACCUGCCUGGUACCUAGGAGGGAGCUGCCAGCAGUCAAGGGAUCUUUGCUAUAUCAUAUAUCACUAUGGUACAGGGACUUCUGUGACCAGAAGGAAGGCUGGCUUCAUCUACACAGUGAAGAUAGUUUCACAUUCCAGGGCCUGAACUAAGUGCAGGUAUCAGUGGUCACAGCUACCAUUCAAAAAAUAAAGAUAUAUUUCAAUGUUAGAUAGCAUCUUACAAGCAGUAAUUAAACUUUUACAACACCCAUGUGAGGUAAGUGAAUAAUUAUCACUCCUAUUUUAAAGCUAUGAAAGGAGAGAGGGUAAGUGGUUUGCCGAAGGCCACGCAAUGAGUCAGUGGCAGUGCUUCCAUUAGCAGGCAUCAGCUCCUGCUUCCGAGGCCUGUCCAUGAGCCACAGCAGCAUUGCAGUCUCCCCAUCGAGAGAUGAAAGCAAGCUGAUUUCUCAAGCACUUUGAUGAGAGAAGGAAGGUUAGAAAUAGCCCACGGCUGUUUCUGGAGAAAGAGUCAGGACAGAAGGAGAAUUUCUAAAGAGGAGAGUGGAAAAGUGCCAGGCUCAGGAAAGGGAAUGGUGAUAAAGUAACUAUUGAUAUGUGUGGUUAUGAAGGGAAUAAAGCUGGCAAACCAGAACCAAAUGACAGGGAAGAAAAAAUAGGUCAGUGGUGAAGAUAGAUUUGUCAGAGAGCUUUGUGGCAUUUGAGAGGCCUAGGGGAGAGGUGGGAAGGGAAUGAGAGGGGAAAGAGAGAUGGGGAGAAAUUCCAGUGAAGUGCAUACAGCAGCAUUUAAAAACUGCUGCACUUGGAGGCAGGGAAAUAAAAGCCACUGAGCAUGAGGCCUUUCAGUGCCUGCCCAAUUACAAUCGUGCUAUUGAGUCUCACUCAGCAGCUGUGGAUCCUGGAAUGGUCUGCCAGGCUAGGUAAGUGUUGGCACCAUCAUCUCACUUACAGGAGUACCAAGGCUCGGAGCAGUGUAGAAACUUACCUGUGGUUGUUCAGCAAGGCAAAAAUUAUUACAAUAAGUGGAAUGUGAAAUAGAAAGACAGAUAGGGACACACAGUUCUCAGUGGCAUAGGAGAGAACAAGAAAAAUGAUGACUGAUGUCAGCAGCCCAAAUCUAUUUUUCCUAGCUCUAGAAUACAUCAUGCUGAGUAAAAUGGCAGGUAGAGGCCAGGAGAUACGGAUCUUUUAUGUUUUAAACUACAAGCUAAGAAAUACUGGCAGGCAGAUACGUUAAUAUAUGCACAUGCAUGCAAAUGCACGUGGACACAACACAAUUAGCCUGACACUGGAUUUGGUAUUGUACAUGUCCUUAGAUUAGUUAUUUCUGCAGUUUCUCAACUUUCCUCCUUUUAGCAAAACUAAGAUAAUGACUCUUACCUACAAAACAGAGACUCACUUAUAACCUAGAUUUUGCAAUGCUAAGUGUGCUUAACUUGAAGCUGCAAAUGAGCACCCAUUUUGCUUUUUUGGUUGUCUUGUGCCACGGAACACAAGCCACAUGUCUGACAGUUGGUGGCUGCUACACCAGAAUGAGCAUCACCUGAAAAAGUAAAACCUCAGAAAAUAGCUGCCAUCAUUACUAGUAGACUCUGAAAGAUUGUCAGAAAGAGUAGUGUUUUCAAGGCCUAAGAAAGUGAGGUGCUUGAGAACAAAAGUUCCUCUUCAUUUCAAAAGCCACCCUUCCUAAACUCUGCUUCCUCCUUUCCCUGGCAAAAAAAUGAAGCUACAGCUACUUUUACCUUAGUUUGUGGAAGGCAGAGAAGCAUCUUGCAGUUUAAAGUAAGAGGAGGAAACCAAUUCAACAAAUCUGUCGAGUGAGUCAGGAAAGAGCAGUGUAUAAAAUAAAGCUUAUUUUUAGUAACACUCCUUUGGUUUUAAAAGUUAUUCCAACUUCACCUCUUCCUUUUUUUCAGCUUCACAGGCAGAUCAGAGCUCCUUCUGCCACCUCUCCUUCCACCUGGCGCAGAGGGCCAUGGUACUUCAGCUGUGCAGUGCUACCACCCUCUGGCCACUUCAAUUCCACAGUCCUCAAUCUGCAGGAGACUCUGAACUUAGUCGUAUGCCUCCUACAUCUACUCUUGGGUCACCGUGGGUGAAGUUCCCAGCUGGGCAACUGGCAUCCAAAUUGCGCUGGAUGAUUGAUAAAAGAAAUAGGAAUGGCUCCUCAGCCCUUUCAAGAAGAAUUUUGUCCAUUCUAACAGAUGUUCCUGCACAAGUUUGCCAUCACUCUAAAGCAAGUGUGUCAUGGCUGACCAACUGUGUCACCCCUGGGAUCCCCCAGCUGUAUCACUUAGUACCAUACCUGCUAUGGAGAGCAAGGGAGCACAGGCAUCUGGCACACUUCCUACAUAUCAGUCCCACCUGCAGCACCUUGUCACUGGGCCUGUUUGCAUCAGACAGAGCUGCACAAUGUGUAAAGUGCCUUUGUCAGCUAGUAUGGUGGAUUCUGGCUUAUAAUCACUAUGGCUAAAUAGAAAAAAAGCUUGACAAAAUCCACACUGCAUUUUUAAUUGCUGUUGGAAUCGUCAGAACUAACCCAUCCUGUUCCUGUUUCUCUCUUCCUGUUUCUGAUGCCCACACUCAUCAUGCUUGUGCUUGGCAGGGGUUCAGAGCUGCAACUGGAAGCAUCCUGAGGCUUGUGAGAUCUGAGUAACUGGUACUCUGUUGCAAGCCUAACAGCACAGAUCUCUUGGAGAACCACACGAUAUGCUUGAUUUUUAAACCUGUUGUUUUUAAACUAAUAUUUAGAAAUCCAAAAUAAGUUAGCUGUGCUUCCCUAAAGACAGAAUUAUUGCAGAAUAAUUGGGGUAGUUUCAAAGCAAAUGUGAAUCCUUAAUCACUUGUAAAUAUUGCACAGCAGUAACAGGCUGUCUUAACAGGAACUUGUGUCCUCCAUCCAACAAAUGCUUGCAGAUCACAGAAAACAAUCAAGCCCAAAGUCUAGAAAAACCAUCUCCAGCAAACAGCACGGGGAUUUCAUAAUUAAGCAUAAGUUGUGAAUGCGUGUCAGUAGUCUCAGUUUGGAAAAGAACAUUUCCUCAGUCAACGUAAAACAGUUUCAUGACUGUGAAGAAAGAACUGAAUGGGCAUUUAUUAUUUACUCUCUUAGGAAGAUCAGAAAUUAGGUGAUUAAAAUGUUAUUCACUGUUUUAAAGUGAUGAUACUUUUGAUCAAAUUAAUAAAAUUCUCAUUACUCACUAUAACCACAGUGUCUUCUAUAUGCUGAGACAGCUACAACCCUGCUACUCUUUUCACAAUUCAUUCGCACUCUUCGUUUAAUUUAUGUUCUUAUUUCUAAGAAUACUGCAGAAAGUCUAUGGGGAAAACAGAUUUCUUUUAUCUUCCCCAAAAGCUGGAGCAUGGAGUUAUUCAUUUGUUAGCUUUUGGGAAACAGAACAGCAUAGACAAAUGGCAGGAAAUUCAGAAUUCAAGUGCAGAGCAAGUAUCCGAUAAAAUAAAUAAAUGAAUAAAGCAAGCAAACAUGUUAAACCUAUUCUCAAUCUGAGCAGCUCAUUUGACUGGUCUUCUAGUUGCUAUAUUGCAAAGCAAAAGUUAUGCAUCUUGCUCGAGGAACACCACACAAAUUAGAAGAAAUGCCAACACUGGAAAAUGCAGUAGUCUUAGAUUGGUCUGCCAUUUGGGAGGACUGGUUUUCUGAUUACAUGACACUCGUCAUGUUUCUUUUUCUAUACCUGUUUUGUGUGAACGUUACUAACUCGUCUGGGUAAUGUUUUAUCUGGAGCUUUACUGUCCCUGCUGAAUUCCAUUUGCUUCUGUUCCUGUAAUGUACACAGUCUCAAUUUGGAAGACUAAACACUCUAAAAACUUUGGAGUUAUGGUUUUUGACUGCUCCACUACCAAUUUCUGUAUUCCAUAUAAGCUACCAUUUAAUUGACAAGUUAGAUUAUGAAUUAACUUCCCUACCACCUGCCCUGCACGUUUUCUGCAGUUAGCUAAAUGUACUUGUAGGAGGUCUGGCAUUUAUUUCUCUGAAUGACAAAAUGGAAUAGGCAACACUAAUCUCCUACAAGCAGACUUUCCUGCUCCAUUUUCAAUAUUUUGAUGAAUUCCACUGAUUUCUUGGUGUACGUUAGUGUAUAUACACAAAUUGGUUAAAAAAGUUUCUAUUUUAUCUAUUUAUCUAUUAUCUAUUUUAUUUAUUUUUUUCUAUUUAUCUAUUUUAUUUUUACCGAAAGCUUACAAUCAUGUUUCCAUGAUUACCAGUUAUACCUAAUUUUUGUGAUUGGGUGCACCAGACAGUUUGCUGAUGACACCAAGCUGAGUGGUAUAGUUGAUACAAUAGAGGGGAGGGAUGCCAUCCAGAGGAACC
rnacentral:lncRNA from 1 species